rnacentral:rRNA from 1 species
CGUGCCCCUUAGUCUGGGAUAGCCACUGGNAACGGUGAUUAAUACCGGAUACUCCUUCUNCUAUUAAUUAGNAGUCGGGAAAGUUUUUCGCUAAGGGAUCGGCCUAUAUUGUAUCAGCUAGUUGGUGGGGUAAAGGNCUCACCAAGGCAAUGACACAUAGCGGGUCUGAGAGGAUGAUCCGCCACACUGGUACUGAGACACGGACCAGACUCCUACGGGAGGCAGCAGUGGGGAAUAUUGCACAAUGGGGGAAACCCUGAUGCAGCAACGCCGCGUGGAGGAUGACACAUUUCGGUGCGUAAACUCCUUUUAUAUAAGAAGAUAAUGACGGUAUUAUAUGAAUAAGCACCGGCUAACUCCGUGCCAGCAGCCGCGGUAAUACGGAGGGUGCAAGCGUUAUUCGGAAUCACUGGGCGUAAAGGGUGCGUAGGCGGUUUGGAAAGUCAGAUGUGAAAGCCUAUGGCUUAACCAUAGAACUGCAUUUGAAACUUCCAGACUAGAAUACUGAAGGGGCAGAUGGAAUUAGUGGUGUAGGGGUAAAAUCCGUAGAUAUCACUAGGAAUACCGAAAGCGAAAGCGAUCUGCUGGGAAGUUAUUGACGCUGAGACACGAAAGCGUGGGGAGCNAACGGGAUUAGAUACCCUGGUAGUCCACGCCGUAAACGAUGUCUACUAGUCGUUUGGGGGAUCUUAGUAUUCUUGGUGACGGAGUUAACGCGAU